rnacentral:rRNA from 1 species
GGACUACUAGGGUAUCUAAUCCUGUUUGCUCCCCACGCUUUCGUGCAUGAGCGUCAGUCUUAUCCCAGGGGGCUGCCUUCGCCAUCGGUGUUCCUCCACAUCUCUACGCAUUUCACUGCUACACGUGGAAUUCCACCCCCCUCUGACAGACUCUAGCCAGACAGUCACAAGCGCAGUUCCCAGGUUAAGCCCGGGGAUUUCACGCCUGUCUUAUCAAGCCGCCUGCGCACGCUUUACGCCCAGUAAUUCCGAUUAACGCUUGCACCCUACGUAUUACCGCGGCUGCUGGCAC